UCUAGGUUAAGAUACAGAUCCUGC
rnacentral:piRNA from 1 species